rnacentral:misc_RNA from 1 species
AUACAUUCUUGAAGUCCACUGCUAUGCACAUCCAACAAAUAAGUGCAUAUGCUUUGAUUAGAAAAACAAAGUAUCAAUCAAUUAAUGGACCACUGCCGACAAAAAGUUAAUAAAGGAAACACUCAAACUGGAAAAUUCCAGAUAACGAAUCUGUACAAACUCAACCAAACAGGGAAAUACCAAAAUCUUAAUUGUAGAGGGAAAUAUCUUAAUUGUAGAGGGAAAUAAGGAGGAUGUACAUGAUUGCAGGUAGGAGAGGAGAAGAUAAGCAGUUAUCCGCAAUUUUUAAAAGUUGUAGAAGUUGGGAUGCUUACACACAUGAAGCUGGCAUCAGAUUGUUACAUGUGUCAUAGAAGCAUGUAGAAUUAGGGAACACAUAAAAGCUCCACUGCCUUCCACCAACAAUCUAGCAAACCCAAUCUCGUAAUAUGAUAUUGUACAACAUAUAUUGUAACUGAAACU